UACGUAGGGGGCAAGCGUUGUCCGGAAUCAUUGGGCGUAAAGCGCGUGUAGGCGGCUUGUCGCGUCUGCUGUGAAAUUUCGGGGCUCAACCCCGAACUUGCAGUGGGUACGGGCAGACUAGAGUGUGGUAGGGGAGACGGGAAUUCCUGGUGUAGCGGUGAAAUGCGCAGAUAUCAGGAGGAACACCGAUGGCGAAGGCAGGUCUCUGGGCCACUACUGACGCUGAGAAGCGAAAGCGUGGGGAGCGAACAGG
rnacentral:rRNA from 1 species